rnacentral:lncRNA from 1 species
GCGGGUUAGUAUAAGAUCAAGCAUGAAAAUACUAGUUAAAUAGCACUAAAAGUGUGUCAAUAAUGAGCGUCAAGAACCCCUAAUUUUAUGGAGAGGAAGAGAGAAACAAGAGCAAAAGUGAUAUUUCGUAGCCUUUAAAUCUAUCCAUUACCCAUAUCUCCAAACAUGGAUGUGCUAAAGUUUAGCUAGCCAAAGUUUAGCUUGGGGUAACGAUUAAUCUAGUACAUCCAAAUAUGGCCAUAAUCGUAAAAUGAAUUACCUUCACAAACUAUCGACGAAGGAUAUGGUUGGAUCCAAGUGCUAAUGGGUGCUAAUGGUUUGUGAAAAGAUCAAAAGGGGGAGAGAGAAAGGGAAAGGUGAGGAGAUAAAGGAGCAAAAGUGACAUUCAUGAAUUUUAAGUCUAUCCAUUAGCCAUGUCUUGAAAAGAGAGUGCUAAUGGGUGGAAGCGCUCAACUUGAGAUGGGCUAAACUUUAGCAUUUACUAAACUUUAGCAAUAGCACAUUCAAAUAGAUUUGAAGUCCAAUUUUCAUUUCCAUUAGACUUUUAACCCACGUGAUGGUAUGUCAGGUGUGGGAUGGUAAAUUGAAGGGAAAAUUGUUUCAUUAGCACUGAAAGAACGUCGAUUCCGAAAAAUACUAUCAAAAAGCUCCGUCAAGUAAAAUACCGCUAAAAUAUUC